UUGAUUUCAAUGAAGAUGGUGAGAAAAAAAGUGCUCUUGACAUGGAAUAUUUGUAUCCUUCACCACCAAGAAAACAAAACCAACUUGUCCCUUUACAAAUUCCACUAGACCUCAAAAUUGGUAACACCUCAAAUGAUGUUUUAUUGAAAGAUAUCACAAAAAAUCAAUCUCUUGAAGAUGAUCAAGAAGAAAAUGUGUCACAAGUUUUCUUUAAGAUUAAGGAAAAUGAAAUUGGUGACAUGAAAAUUGAAUCACCAAAGUCAAGUAGUAGCAAAGAGUUUAUUACUUCUCCAAGAAUGAUUAUUGAGAA
rnacentral:lncRNA from 1 species